rnacentral:rRNA from 1 species
CCCUUAGAUGUUCUGGGCCGCACGCGCGCUACACUGUUCGACGCAGCGAGUCUUAACCUUGACCGAAAGGUUUGGGUAAUCUUCAGCAAAGUCGAACGUGAUGGGGAUCGAUCAUUGCAAUUAUUGAUCGUGAACGAGGAAUUCCUAGUAAGUGCAAGUCAUCAGCUUGCGCUGAUUACGUCCCUGCCCUUUGUACACACCGCCCGUCGCUACUACCGAUUGAAUGGUUUAGUGAGAUCUCUGGAUUGACGCUGGCUAGGGGGCGACCCUUAGCCAGGCUGUCGAGAAACUGCUCAAACUUGAUCAUUUAGAGGAAGUAAAAGUCGUAACA